CGUACUGUGCCUUGACCUCAGCGAUGAUGUCGUCCACGUCCAGGGAGCGGCUGCUGUCCAUGGACAACAUCACAGAUGUAUCUGAGAUUUGGGACUGCAGCUCCCGAUCUCCUCUUCAUACAGCUGCCUCCGGAAGUUGAUCUCCUCAGCCCUAACAGCAGAAGUGACACUAUAUGAUAUCCAGGACUUGGCCUUAUGAGAUCUUCAGCUUCCACAUGCUGUUUUGAAGCACUCCCUGUUAGAAGCCAGCAGCCAUCUAAGUCUAUCUGAAGACGAUGAUACUGUGAGGAUGCCCAAGCUAUGUGGAGUGAGAGGCCAAUAGAGAUGCACUAAGGCACCAGACAUGAAACUUUCUUGGACUUUCUGGCUCAGUUCAACCACCAGCUGAAUGCAGCCAAGGAAAGACUCAGCCGACGUCACAGGGAGCAGAACCCUCCAAAUGAGUGAAACUGAAUUCCCAAAUCCACAGAAUCCUGAGCAAAUAAAUGACAGCGGCUUUUGCUUACCAAA